rnacentral:rRNA from 1 species
GAUGAACGCUGGCGGCGUGCCUAAUACAUGCAAGUCGAGCGAACAGAUAAGGAGCUUGCUCCUUUGACGUUAGCGGCGGACGGGUGAGUAACACGUGGGUAACCUACCUAUAAGACUGGGAUAACUUCGGGAAACCGGAGCUAAUACCGGAUAACAUUUGGAACCGCAUGGCUCUAAAGUGAAAGAUGGUUUUGCUAUCACUUAUAGAUGGACCCGCGCCGUAUUAGCUAGUUGGUAAGGUAACGGCUUACCAAGGCGACGAUACGUAGCCGACCUGAGAGGGUGAGCGGCCCUCCUGGAACUGAGCCACGGUCCGGACUCCAACGAGAGGCAGCAGUACGGAAUCUUCCGCAGUAGGCGAAAGCCUGACGGAGCAACGGCGCGGGAGAGAUGAGGGGUUUCGGCUCCUAAAACCCUGUUAUUAGGGAAGAACAAGUGUGUAAGUAACAGUGCACGUCUUGACGGUACCUACUCAGAAAGCCACGGCUAACUACGUG